rnacentral:rRNA from 2 species
UGCAGUCGAGCGGACGUUUUUGAAGCUUGCUUCAAAAACGUUAGCGGCGGACGGGUGAGUAACACGUGGGCAACCUACCUUAUCGACUGGGAUAACUCCGGGAAACCGGGGCUAAUACCGGAUAACAUCUAGCACCUCCUGGUGCCGGAUUAAAAGAGGGCUUCUUGCUCUCACGAUGAGAUGGGCCCGCGGCGCAUUAGCUAGUUGGAGAGGUAACGGCUCCCCAAGGCGACGAUGCGUAGCCGACCUGAGAGGGUGAUCGGCCACACUGGGACUGAGACACGGCCCAGACUCCUACGGGAGGCAGCAGUAGGGAAUCUUCCGCAAUGGACGAAAGUCUGACGGAGCAACGCCGCGUGAGUGAUGAAGGGUUUCGGCUCGUAAAGCUCUGUUAUGAGGGAAGAACACGUACCGUUCGAAUAGGGCGGUACCUUGACGGUACCUCAUCAGAAAGCCACGGCUAACUACGUGCCAGCAGCCGCGGUAAUACGUAGGUGGCAAGCGUUGUCCGGAAUUAUUGGGCGUAAAGCGCGCGCAGGCGGCCUUUUAAGUCUGAUGUGAAAUCUUGCGGCUCAACCGCAAGCGGCCAUUGGAAACUGGGAGGCUUGAGUACAGAAGAGGAGAGUGGAAUUCCACGUGUAGCGGUGAAAUGCGUAGAUAUGUGGAGGAACACCAGUGGCGAAGGCGACUCUCUGGUCUGUAACUGACGCUGAGGCG